AAAGAAAGAGGAUAUAGGCAGCAGGAUAUAUCAAAAGCAUAUUCAAGAGCAAAGAAUACCCCCAGGAACAAUCUGUUGAUGCAACCCAAGCAGAAAAACCCGGAUAACCAGGGAGCUACGGAGAAGAGUAAGGGAACAUGUUCUGAGCAUCGAAGCAGCCAAGAAUGAACAGGAUGCCACUAAACUCAAGACAUUGGCUAGGCACUUUAAAGAGCAUCAUGCAUGCAAUGGACAUUUAUUGAAGGUACCUGGCAUAUCUGCGGAUUUUGAGUUCAGCGCGGGACUGUAUGCACCGACUCAACACCACAUUGUGAUUUUGUAUUAUUACAAAUAUUUUUGUAACACACUUCAUCAUUCACCUAUUCAUUUUACACAUAACUAAUGUAUAAGUACACUGAAUAUGGAUACACCUACAUGCACAUAUUUGUAUAUGCA